rnacentral:snRNA from 1 species
AAGCCAAUGAUUAGAGGCAU